AUGGAGAGGAGCAUGAGGCUGUUCGAGACGGAGACUCACGGGGGCCGGGCGGCGUACAGGCUCCACGCCGUCACGGUGGCCGCCGGGAUCCUGCUGCUGCUCUACUACCGGGCGACGCGCGUCCCGGCCGCCGGCGAGGGGAGGGCGGCGUGGCUGGUCAUGCUGGCGGCGGAGCUCUGGUACGCCGCCUACUGGGUGGUCACGCAGUCCGUGCGCUGGAGCCCCGUCCGCCGCCGCCCCUUCAUCGACAGGCUCGCCGCCAGGACUUGUGUAGUAACCAGAGUGCUGCUCAUCUUGCCUUUGCCUUUGCCUUUACCUGAUGAUGAAGAGGAAGAAGAAGAAACCACCACGUCCCUCCCACUCCCACAUGCACUUGUCCGUGCGUGUAACGGCCAACGGGCCGCCGUCUGGGCAGGACAGCUUUGCCUACCGGCCAGGAGCAAGGGAGCGGUCAGCCAGACCGGCAGUGAUCAAUGGCGUCCAGCGCAUGGAAACCUACGGAUGUCAGGCGGGUCCAUGCCCCUGGCUGGCUACACCGUGCGUGCGUCUACCGCGCCGCGUGUUCCGAUUUGUACUGCUGCAGGCCUGGCCUCAUGCACCACGCCGAGGCAGGCACGCCAGCAUCAACACCCAGCAAUCUUAGCUAAUGCAUGGACUGUGUGUGUAACGGGAAGGCACGGAGAAAGGCUACCGUGUGUGGACAUCUUUGUGUGCACUGCGGACCCCUACUCGGAGCCGCCAAGCCUCGUCGUCUCCACCAUCCUAUCGCUCAUGGCGUACAACUACCCGCCCGAGAAAUUAAGCGUGUACCUUUCUGACGACGGCGGCUCGAUUCUCACUUUCUAUGGCAUGUGGGAGGCCUCCUUGUUUGCAAAGCACUGGCUGCCAUUCUGCAAGAGAUAUAACAUUGAGCCAAGGUCACCAGCCGCUUACUUCUCAGAGUCAGAUGGGCAUCAAGAACUGUGCACCCCAAAAGAAUGGUCAUUGAUCAAGAUUCUGAUAGACGGCAGGGACCAAAAUGCAGUUGAUAAUGAAGGAAAGGUGCUACCAACACUUGUUUACAUGGCGCGUGAGAAGAGGCCUCAACACCACCAUAACUUCAAAGCUGGGGCCAUGAAUGCUCUGGUACACAAACACAAGGAGCAUAGAACUCUUGUCGCAUCGCUCAAGUUCCGAGGUGUGCGGGUUCUGAUAAGGGUAUCAUCAGUGAUAAGCAACAGCCCUAUCAUCAUGAAUGUGGACUGCGAUAUGUACUCCAACAACAACGAUGCGGCAGAGAUGCACUGUGCUUCUUCCUUGAUGAAGGAAUGGGUCACAAGAUCGGAUUUGUGCAGUGGAGAUGGGUGGUAUGGACAGUUUGGGUGGCCCUAUGUAUAUUGGCACGGGAUGUGCCACAGAAGGGAGAUCCUUUGCGGCAGGAAGUUCACCGAAGACUACCAAGAAGACUGGAAUGCAGGGAUCAAGGACAAAUUACAAGAAAGCAUAGAUGAGACUGAAGAGAAAGCCAAGUCUUUAGCAGCCUGCACAUACGAACAUGGCAUGCAGUCCAACAACACUUGCUCAGAUGAUACUGCAACACAAGCGAUGGAGCGAGGGUAUCUUCUUGAUUUUCCUUUCAAAGUACAACGUCUUCUUGUUUGCACAUGGAAAAACCAAGCUACGGCAUCAAAUGGGCUACCAUAUCUAUGGACUAUGGGCACCAAUCCGCUCGCUACACUAUAUUAUGUUAUCAUCCCUUCACUAGCCCUCCUCAAAGGCACCUCCCUUUUCCCAGAGAUUACAAGUCCAUGGAUCGCACCCUUCGUGUAUGUCUUCUGCGUGAAGAACAUGUACAGCCAGUGGCAGAGCUUCACUAGGGCCAAAGGGGGCUAUGCCCCCCUACCCUAG
rnacentral:rRNA from 1 species